CUGAGCUUGGAAGGACGAGGAAAGAGCUGCAGAGGCGGAGACUCUGACCCCAAGGCAAUCAAAGAAAGGCCUUUCCCUGGCUUCCGUGUCCCUGUGGCAGGCUGGCGGUGGUGGUCGAAAUCUCUGCCCCUCAGAGUCCUGGGGAGGAUGGGUGGAAGAGGAGCAGCAUCACAAGAAGGCUUCCUGUAAACUAUGGAGGGUGCCCGUGGAAGCCAGCAGAGGGUGUAGGAUCUCCUGGAGCCAUGUGUCUGGAGUUACAAGAAGUUGUGAACCUCUCAACAUGGGUUCUGGGAAUUGAGCCUAGGUCCUCUGGAAGGACAUCAAGUGCUCUUAACCACUGAGCCAUCUCUGCAGCCCAACCCCAGCCCCUGGAGGCUGAAGCAAAGCAAGUUCAACGACUGUGCGACCUGGCUCUUGUUUGGACCUAAGGAAAAGCGACUGUAAGCAGGGAGGCAUCUCUGGCAAGAGAUGAAUAAGCACGUUU
rnacentral:lncRNA from 1 species